UACGUAGGGUGCAAGCGUUAAUCGGAAUUACUGGGCGUAAAGCGUGCGCAGGCGGUUAUGUAAGACAGUUGUGAAAUCCCCGGGCUCAACCUGGGAAUUGCAUCUGUGACUGCAUAGCUAGAGUACGGUAGAGGGGGGAUGGAAUUCCGCGUGUAGCAGUGAAAUGCGUAGAUAUGCGGAGGAACACCGAUGGCGAAGGCAAUCCCCUGGGCCUGCACUGACGCUCAUGCACGAAAGCGUGGGGAGCAAACAGG
rnacentral:rRNA from 1 species